rnacentral:rRNA from 1 species
UACCAGCACCCCGAGUGGUCGGGACGUUUAUUGGGCCUAAAGCAUCCGUAGCCGGUUCUACAAGUCUUCCGUUAAAUCCACCUGCUUAACAGAUGGGCUGCGGAAGAUACUAUGGAGCUAGGAGGCGGGAGAGGCAAGCGGUACUCGAUGGGUAGGGGUAAAAUCCGUUUAUCCAUUGAAGACCACCAGUGGCGAAGGCGGCUUGCCAGAACGCGCUCGACGGUGAGGGAUGAAAGCUGGGGGAGCAAACCGG